GUUAAAUGAAUAUGUAUAUUAUUAGGCUAUAUAAUGGUAAUGGAAAGUCCUUAGUGUCAUGAUGAUGAAGGGUUUAAACAUCCAAAAGAGGUAGCUGUGUUUUUGAAAUAUAAACAUUUUUAUUUUAUUUAAAUCCUACUUUUUAAUUGUAAGUGUUAUUUAGUAUAGUACAUGUUGAAAAACUGUGCCAGACUUCCAGUCUGGAGUCUAGACCUUUCUACAUCUUGUUUACCUACAUUGUCAGGAUUUAAAAGCCCCUUAUGUCAUUAACCCUGACUUUCUCCAGCAGAGACUUGGCUCAGUACAGACAAUCUGUUCUGUCUCCAAGACACCAGCUGGCAUGAGAAUACUUAUCGGCAGUCGUAACAAGAACAGUUUUCAGAAGCAAAACCGUAAGCCUGACUUCUCUCAAUGGACUUACCGGAUUGCAGGACGGGCUGGAACUGACCAGCCAUGCAGAUCUCGUCUUGUUUCUGGCGGACGAUGCGCUGGAUUGCAGGAGGCAGGCCACGGGGGUUGCGUGAGAAAACCAGGGCAUAGCCAUCCUCGCAUGUGCCAUCAUCCUUCAGAGUGCGGCAAGCACUCAUCACUAACCCGAAAAGAGUUACUCGGCCCUUGGAAGAGGCAGUCAUGGUGCCGUCAUCAUCAAUGGUGUAUUCGGCAGAGAUGUUGUCCUGGAGGAAGAGUCCCUCUGGGUCUUUC